CCUACGGGAUGCAGCAGUGAGGAAUAUUGGUCAAUGGCCGGAAGGCUGAACCAGCCAUGCCGCGUGAAGGUCAGUGCCCUAUGGGCGUUAAACUUCUUUUGUGCGGGAGCAAUAAUGGUCACGUGUGGCCAGACGAGAGUACCGUACGACUAAGCAUCGGCUAACUCCGUGCCAGCAGCCGCGGUAAUACGGGGGAUGCAAGCGUUAUCCGGAUUUAUUGGGUUUAAAGGGUGCGUAGGCUGUGAGGUAAGUCAGCGGUGAAAUGCCCCCGCUCAACGGGGUGAAGUGCCAUUGAUACUGCCUGGCUGGAAUGCGGAUGCCGUGGGAGGAAUGUGUGGUGUAGCGGUGAAAUGCAUAGAUAUCACACAGAACACCGAUUGCGAAGGCAUCUCACGAAUCCGCGAUUGACGCUGAUGCACGAAAGCGUGGGUAUCAAACAGGAUUAGAUACCCCUGUAGUC
rnacentral:rRNA from 1 species